UACGUAGGGGGCAAGCGUUGUCCGGAUUCAUUGGGCGUAAAGCGCGCGUAGGCGGCCCGGUAAGUCCGUUGUGAAAGUCAAAGGCUCAACCUUUGAACGCCGAUGGAUACUGCCGGGCUAGAGUCCGGAAGAGGCGAGUGGAAUUCCUGGUGUAGCGGUGGAAUGCGCAGAUAUCAGGAGGAACACCAGUGGCGAAGGCGGCUCACUGGACCGGAACUGACGCUGAGGCGCGAAAGCGUGGGGAGCAAACAGG
rnacentral:rRNA from 1 species